UACAGAGGUGGCAAGCGUUGUUCGGAAUUACUGGGCGUAAAGGGCGCGUAGGCGGUCUUGUCAGUCCCUUGUGAAAUCCCCCGGCUCAACUGGGGAACUGCACGGGAAACAGCAGGGCUUGAGUUCGGGAGAGGGAAGCGGAAUUCCGGGUGUAGCGGUGAAAUGCGUAGAUAUCUGGAGGAAUACCGGUGGCGAAGGCGGCAUCCUGGACCAGUACCGACGUCAGGCACGAAAGCGUGGGGAGCAAACAGG
rnacentral:rRNA from 1 species